AGUCCCUUUUUUUCAGUCACUUUUUAACUUUAAAUGGUCACUAAAUGAACUGUUGUAAGUCAAGGACUAUCUGUAGUUAACCUGGACCUUUCAUGAGUGGAUCUGGUGGCCCGCACUUGACAUGAAAUCCACGAAGGAAAACAAGAGUAUGAAAACGUUUCAGGACAAGCAAAUAAGAAAUUUGGGGAUUGAUUCCCAAAUGGAAAGUGCCACUGAAGGACAAAUCUCUUCGAAAGGAAAAGGGGAUGAGAGCCACUUGGCAGGAUGAAGUGAAAGAAAGAAGAAAGUCACUUCAAAGUCACGGUUGAGGUAAAGUGUAAGAAGAUCACCUCUCUUCUUAGAACUACGCCACUUUCGAUCUGACCUAAACAUAGUACAUAAAAUUAUCUGCUGCAACGUCCUACCUGCCAAUGAUCACUUCAGCUUCAAC